rnacentral:rRNA from 1 species
UACAGAGGGUGCGAGCGUUAAUCGGAAUUACUGGGCGUAAAGCGCGCGUAGGCGGCUUUUCAAGUCGAUUGUGAAAUCCCCGGGCUUAACCUGGGAACUGCAGUCAAGACUGUCUAGCUAGAGUAUGGGAGAGGGAAGUGGAAUUUCAGGUGUAGCGGUGAAAUGCGUAGAUAUCUGAAGGAACAUCAGUGGCGAAAGCGACUUCCUGGACCAAUACUGACGCUCAUGUGCGAAAGCGUGGGGAGCAAACAGG